rnacentral:rRNA from 1 species
CCUGGUGGCGAGUGGCGAACGGGUGAGUAAUACAUCGGAACGUGCCCUGUAGUGGGGGAUAACUAGUCGAAAGAUUAGCUAAUACCGCAUACGACCUGAGGGUGAAAGCGGGGGACCGCAAGGCCUCGCGCUACAGGAGCGGCCGAUGUCUGAUUAGCUAGUUGGUGGGGUAAAAGCCUACCAAGGCGACGAUCAGUAGCUGGUCUGAGAGGACGAUCAGCCACACUGGGACUGAGACACGGCCCAGACUCCUACGGGAGGCAGCAGUGGGGAAUUUUGGACAAUGGGGGCAACCCUGAUCCAGCAAUGCCGCGUGUGUGAAGAAGGCCUUCGGGUUGUAAAGCACUUUUGUCCGGAAAGAAAUGGCUCUGGUUAAUACCCGGGGUCGAUGACGGUACCGGAAGAAUAAGCACCGGCUAACUACGUGCCAGCAGCCGCGGUAAUACGUAGGGUGCGAGCGUUAAUCGGAAUUACUGGGCGUAAAGCGUGCGCAGGCGGUUUUGUAAGACAGGCGUGAAAUCCCCGAGCUCAACUUGGGAAUGGCGCUUGUGACUGCAAGGCUAGAGUAUGUCAGAGGGGGGUAGAAUUCCACGUGUAGCAGUGAAAUGCGUAGAGAUGUGGAGGAAUACCGAUGGCGAAGGCAG